AUCCCUGACGUGAAUGCGCGACCGCACUGCAGCUCAGCGGCACCGGACCUUAUGCUGUUAAAGUCAGCUGUUAGCCAAGAAGCUAAAGGACAACUGGAGAACAGACAGAGAGAGGUAUUUGCGACAGCUAGUCCCUCCAUGGUGCCAGGGUGCUGGUGACGGGUGCCAGUACAGACAGCCGGGAACAGUUGGCAUACCAUCACGCCAGGCUGGGUGCCCAGAUAGUAAUAACAACUAGGAGGGAGUGCAUGCAUUACACAAGCAGGACAAAGGCUGUAAGUGAUGGACUCACCGUGUGUCGACGGGAACAACAGGUGAUGCCGACAUAAUGGUAUGCCAACACUGAGCUGGAUGAGUAGCUGCGUCUCUUUCCCUGUUGGGUUUUUCUGUUGAAAUCAGCCACGAUCUAAGCUUGUGCGCCCUCCCAUCUGAGCUCCACGUAAUGGUUAUCGUGAUGUUACUGGGUAGGCUGGAGGAAGAUGGAUCAGUGUGUUUAUAUACGUCUGCUGCUCCGGAGAGGACAAGGAGGAGGCGGGACGAUAUGGAGUGACGACUGCGCGAGGAGGCCAAUUGACGUUGAUUUUUUUUUUUUUUCAGACCUUGUUAAGGGUGCGGCCCAAACCCAGCAGCCAAAUUACAUUAUAUGAAGGUUAAGGGUGCAUAUGGAUUAAACAUAUGGAGGCAGAAGAUGUAUGGCAUUAGAAAAUGCCCCGUUCACUAUUCAAGGAAA